rnacentral:rRNA from 1 species
AAACUAAUUUAGUUUGACGGCAUUCAAUCUAUUUAGAGGAAUUUGUCCUUUAAUCGAUAAUCCACGUUAAAUUUCACUUUAAUUCAAAGCCUAUAUACCGCCAUCUUAAGAAUUUAUAAAAAAUAUUUCUCCAAAAAUCAAUAAAAAAUUAGGUCAAGGUAUAAUUAAUAUUAAAGAAUAAGAUGAAUUACAUUAAAUACAAUUUAAAGAUUACAAAUAAAUAUAUUUAUAUAAAUAAGGAUUUAAAAGUAAUAUUAAAACAAUAAUAUAAUAUGACACGGAUAAUAAAUGUGCACACAUCGCCC